AACCUAUUCAGCCAUAGAUGCCACUUUUGGAGAAUCAAGAAAGGGUUUGGUGGGUUGUGAUUUUGUCUAUUUAUUUAAUCUAAAGCCAGAAUUUUUGGGGGACAAUUUAAAUUUUGUAGUUCUUAACUGCAGAAAAUUUCAACCGUGCUUUGAUUAUUCAUUCCACUUGAAGAGAAUCAAGAUAUUGUGUGUUGUUUCUUUGGAAUGAUUUCUCGGGGUUUCGAAUUUGCAAAAUGGAGCUCAGGAAUUGUUCUUGAUAUGGGUUUGCUUUAAAAUCAGCAAGAAUUUCAAUUUGGUUUGAUUGUUUAUCAAAUAAAAGUGUGAACUUGAAAAGAUUUGGGACAAAAAGACAAUGGCAAUGCCAUGGAAUAUGACAAUUUGGAUGGCAAAGAUGAUAUGGCUGGCACUGAGUAAUUGGGUGGUUUCUUGUGUAAGUGUUGCUGAUGAAAUUGCUAAUUCUCUGAGAACUGGGGAAAUUAGCCCUUUCCAUGUUGGUUGAUCCAAGAAAUGGCUAUGAAUUUAGCUUAUUUUCUGGUUUGAUCUUUUCAACUAACAAUUUUUAUUUUUUAUUUUUUAUUUUUUUAUUGGGAAUGUAGUUAAUGUUGAUAGGCUUAGUUGACUUGUAUCAACGUGAAUAGUAAUUUGAGUGUUUGCUGAUGUAAAUUUUGAAUCUUUGAAUGAGAAAUGGAAG
rnacentral:lncRNA from 1 species